GGGGAUUUAGCUCAGUGGUAGAGCGCUUGCCUAGGAAGCGCAAGGCCCUGGAUUCAGUCCCCA
rfam:Rattus norvegicus chromosome X, whole genome shotgun sequence.